rnacentral:rRNA from 1 species
CCUACGGGUGGCAGCAGUGGGGAAUAUUGCACAAUGGGGGAAACCCUGAUGCAGCAACGCCGCGUGGGUGAAGAAGUAUUUCGGUAUGUAAAGCCCUAUCAGCAGGGAAGAGAAUGACGGUACCUGACUAAGAAGCCCCUGCUAACCACGUGCCAGCAGCCGCGGUAAAACGACGGGGGCAAGCGUUAGGCGGAUUUACUGGGUGUAAAGGGAGCGUAGACGGGUGUGCAAGUAUGAAGUGAAAGCCCUCGGCUCAAAUGCUGACCGGCUUUGGAAACUGUGUAACUGGAGUGCUGGAGAGGUAAGCGGAAUUCCUGGUGUAGCGGUGAAAUGCGUAGAUAUCAGGAGGAACACCGGCGGCGAAGGCGGCUUACUGGACAGUAACUGACGUUGAGGCUCGAAAGCGUGGGGAGCAAACAGGAUUAGAUACCCGUGUAGUC